GACGAACGCUGGCGGCGUGCCUAAUACAUGCAAGUAGGACGCAGUUGCGAACGGGUGAGUAACGCGUAGGUAACUACCUAUUAGAGGGGGAUAACUAUUGGAAACGAUAGCUAAUACCGCAUACUAGUAGAAGGACCUGCGUUGUAUUAGCUAGUAGGUAGGGUAAUGGCCUACCUAGGCAACGAUACAUAGCCGACCUUGGAGGGUGGACGGCCCCAAUGGGACUGGAGCACGGCCCAGGCUCCUACGGGAGGGAGCAGUAGGGGAUCUUCGGAAAUGGGGGGAAACCUGACCGAGCAACGGCGCGUGAGUGAAGAAGGUUUUCGGAUCGUAAAGCUCUGUUGUUAAGGAAGCGGUACUUAACCAGAAAGGGACGGCUAACUACGUGCCAGCCGCCGCGGUAAUAC
rnacentral:rRNA from 1 species